rfam:Nicotiana attenuata strain TT chromosome 7, whole genome shotgun sequence.
UGGACAAAUUAUUGUAUUCGACUGUAUUCACGGCGUAAAAUAGGGGAUUAUACUGAUUUUAAACGGAAAGUGAAUCAAUUAACAUAAUAGACUCCU